GUUAUGGCUGUGGGCGACGGGGAUUUGGUGAACCCCGCCAGGCCAGGAAUGGAGCAACGGUAGCUUUUGAUCCGUGCGCUCGCAGCCACCUCUUU
rnacentral:SRP_RNA from 1 species